rnacentral:rRNA from 1 species
GGGUUGUGAGGUUAAGCGACUAAGCGUACACGGUGGAUGCCCUGGCAGUCAGAGGCGAUGAAGGACGUGCUAAUCUGCGAUAAGCGUCGGUAAGGUGAUAUGAACCGUUAUAACCGGCGAUUUCCGAAUGGGGAAACCCAGUGUGAUUCGUCACACUAUCAUUAACUGAAUCCAUAGGUUAAUGAGGCGAACCGGGGGAACUGAAACAUCUAAGUACCCCGAGGAAAAGAAAUCAACCGAGAUUCCCCCAGUAGCGGCGAGCGAACGGGGAGCAGCCCAGAGCCUGAAUCAGUGUGUGUGUUAGUGGAAGCGUCUGGAAAGGCGCGCGAUACAGGGUGACAGCCCCGUACACAAAAAUGCACAUACUGUGAGCUCGAUGAGUAGGGCGGGACACGUGGUAUCCUGUCUGAAUAUGGGGGGACCAUCCUCCAAGGCUAAAUACUCCUGACUGACCGAUAGUGAACCAGUACCGUGAGGGAAAGGCGAAAAGAACCCCGGCGAGGGGAGUGAAAAAGAACCUGAAACCGUGUACGUACAAGCAGUGGGAGCACAGAGCAAUCUGUGUGACUGCGUACCUUUUGUAUAAUGGGUCAGCGACUUAUAUUCUGUAGCAAGGUUAACCGAAUAGGGGAGCCGAAGGGAAACCGAGUCUUAACUGGGCGUUAAGUUGCAGGGUAUAGACCCGAAACCCGGUGAUCUAGCCAUGGGCAGGUUGAAGGUUGGGUAACACUAACUGGAGGACCGAACCGACUAAUGUUGAAAAAUUAGCGGAUGACUUGUGGCUGGGGGUGAAAGGCCAAUCAAACCGGGAGAUAGCUGGUUCUCCCCGAAAGCUAUUUAGGUAGCGCCUCGUGAAUUCAUCUCCGGGGGUAGAGCACUGUUUCGGCAAGGGGGUCAUCCCGACUUACCAACCCGAUGCAAACUGCGAAUACCGGAGAAUGUUAUCACGGGAGACACACGGCGGGUGCUAACGUCCGUCGUGAAGAGGGAAACAACCCAGACCGCCAGCUAAGGUCCCAAAGUCAUGGUUAAGUGGGAAACGAUGUGGGAAGGCCCAGACAGCCAGGAUGUUGGCUUAGAAGCAGCCAUCAUUUAAAGAAAGCGUAAUAGCUCACUGGUCGAGUCGGCCUGCGCGGAAGAUGUAACGGGGCUAAACCAUGCACCGAAGCUGCGGCAGCGACGCUUAUGCGUUGUUGGGUAGGGGAGCGUUCUGUAAGCCUGCGAAGGUGUGCUGUGAGGCAUGCUGGAGGUAUCAGAAGUGCGAAUGCUGACAUAAGUAACGAUAAAGCGGGUGAAAAGCCCGCUCGCCGGAAGACCAAGGGUUCCUGUCCAACGUUAAUCGGGGCAGGGUGAGUCGACCCCUAAGGCGAGGCCGAAAGGCGUAGUCGAUGGGAAACAGGUUAAUAUUCCUGUACUUGGUGUUACUGCGAAGGGGGGACGGAGAAGGCUAUGUUGGCCGGGCGACGGUUGUCCCGGUUUAAGCGUGUAGGCUGGUUUUCCAGGCAAAUCCGGAAAAUCAAGGCUGAGGCGUGAUGACGAGGCACUACGGUGCUGAAGCAACAAAUGCCCUGCUUCCAGGAAAAGCCUCUAAGCAUCAGGUAACAUCAAAUCGUACCCCAAACCGACACAGGUGGUCAGGUAGAGAAUACCAAGGCGCUUGAGAGAACUCGGGUGAAGGAACUAGGCAAAAUGGUGCCGUAACUUCGGGAGAAGGCACGCUGAUAUGUAGGUGAAGUCCCUCGCGGAUGGAGCUGAAAUCAGUCGAAGAUACCAGCUGGCUGCAACUGUUUAUUAAAAACACAGCACUGUGCAAACACGAAAGUGGACGUAUACGGUGUGACGCCUGCCCGGUGCCGGAAGGUUAAUUGAUGGGGUCAGCGCAAGCGAAGCUCUUGAUCGAAGCCCCGGUAAACGGCGGCCGUAACUAUAACGGUCCUAAGGUAGCGAAAUUCCUUGUCGGGUAAGUUCCGACCUGCACGAAUGGCGUAAUGAUGGCCAGGCUGUCUCCACCCGAGACUCAGUGAAAUUGAACUCGCUGUGAAGAUGCAGUGUACCCGCGGCAAGACGGAAAGACCCCGUGAACCUUUACUAUAGCUUGACACUGAACAUUGAGCCUUGAUGUGUAGGAUAGGUGGGAGGCUUUGAAGUGUGGACGCCAGUCUGCAUGGAGCCGACCUUGAAAUACCACCCUUUAAUGUUUGAUGUUCUAACGUUGACCCGUAAUCCGGGUUGCGGACAGUGUCUGGUGGGUAGUUUGACUGGGGCGGUCUCCUCCUAAAGAGUAACGGAGGAGCACGAAGGUUGGCUAAUCCUGGUCGGACAUCAGGAGGUUAGUGCAAUGGCAUAAGCCAGCUUGACUGCGAGCGUGACGGCGCGAGCAGGUGCGAAAGCAGGUCAUAGUGAUCCGGUGGUUCUGAAUGGAAGGGCCAUCGCUCAACGGAUAAAAGGUACUCCGGGGAUAACAGGCUGAUACCGCCCAAGAGUUCAUAUCGACGGCGGUGUUUGGCACCUCGAUGUCGGCUCAUCACAUCCUGGGGCUGAAGUAGGUCCCAAGGGUAUGGCUGUUCGCCAUUUAAAGUGGUACGCGAGCUGGGUUUAGAACGUCGUGAGACAGUUCGGUCCCUAUCUGCCGUGGGCGCUGGAGAACUGAGGGGGGCUGCUCCUAGUACGAGAGGACCGGAGUGGACGCAUCACUGGUGUUCGGGUUGUCAUGCCAAUGGCACUGCCCGGUAGCUAAAUGCGGAAGAGAUAAGUGCUGAAAGCAUCUAAGCACGAAACUUGCCCCGAGAUGAGUUCUCCCUGACCCUUUAAGGGUCCUGAAGGAACGUUGAAGACGACGACGUUGAUAGGCCGGGUGUGUAAGCGCAGCGAUGCGUUGAGCUAACCGGUACUAAUGAACCGUGAGGCUUAACCUUACAACGCCGAAGGUGUUU